rnacentral:rRNA from 1 species
AACGAACGCUGGUGGCAGGCUUAACACAUGCAAGUCGAACGCCCCGCAAGGGGAGUGGCAGACGGGUGAGUAACGCGUGGGAAUCUACCCAGAUCUUCGGAACAACUGAGGGAAACUUCAGCUAAUACCGGAUACGCCCUACGGGGGAAAGAUUUAUCGGUUCUGGAUGAGCCCGCGUUGGAUUAGCUAGUUGGUGGGGUAAUGGCCUACCAAGGCGACGAUCCAUAGCUGGUCUGAGAGGAUGAUCAGCCACACUGGGACUGGGACACGGCCCAGACUCCUACGGGAGGCAGCAGUGGGGAAUAUUGGACAAUGGGCGAAAGCCUGAUCCAGCCAUGCCGCGUGAGUGAUGAAGGCCUUAGGGUUGUAAAGCUCUUUCAGUGGGGAAGAUAAUGACGGUACCCACAGAAGAAGCCCCGGCUAACUUCGUGCCAGCCGCCGCCGUAAUAC